GCCGGUGGCGCGGAUCAGCGCAAACGGCGCUCUCGUAAAGCGUAGGUCACGGGUUCGAUUCCCGUAGUUGGCU
rnacentral:tRNA from 1 species